rnacentral:rRNA from 1 species
CUACGGGUCGCUGCAGUAGGGAAUAUUGGUCAAUGGACGCAAGUCUGAACCAGCCAUGCCGCGUGAAGGAUGAAGGCCCUAUGGGUCGUAAACUUCUUUUAUUAGGGAAGAAAAAAUGGGAUGCGUCCUAUACUGACGGUACUUAAUGAAUAAGGAUCGGCUAACUUCGUGCCAGCAGCCGCGGUAAGACGAAGGAUCCAAGCGUUGUCCGGAUUUACUGGGUUUAAAGGGUGCGUAGGCGGAAAAUUAAGUCAGUGGUGAAAGCCCGCAGCUCAACUGUGGAACUGCCAUUGAAACUGGUUUUCUUGAAUAUAGCUGAGGCAGAUGGAAUAUAACAUGUAGCGGUGCAAUGCUUAGAUAUGUUAUAGAACACCGAUUGCGAAGGCAGUCUGCUAAACUAUUAUUGACGCUGAGGCACGAAAGCGUGGGGAGCGAACAGGAUUAGAUACCCGGUAGUC